rnacentral:rRNA from 1 species
UACGAAGGGGACUAGCGUUGUUCGGAAUCACUGGGCGUAAAGCGCACGUAGGCGGAUGUGUCAGACAGGUGUGAAAUCCCCGGGCCUAACCUGGGAACUGCAUUUGUGACUGCAUAGCUAGAGUCCGUCAGAGGGGGGUGGAAUUCCACGUGUAGCAGUGAAAUGCGUAGAGAUGUGGAGGAACACCGAUGGCGAAGGCAGCCCCCUGGGCCAACACUGACGCUCAGGCACGAAAGCGUGGGGAGCAAACAGG